GACGAACGCUGGCGGCGUGCUUAACACAUGCAAGUCGAACGGAAAGGCCCUGCUUUUGUGGGGUGCUCGAGUGGCGAACGGGUGAGUAACACGUGAGUAACCUGCCCUUGACUUUGGGAUAACUUCAGGAAACUGGGGCUAAUACCGGAUAGGAGCUCCUACUGCAUGGUGGGGGUUGGAAAGUUUCGGCGGUUGGGGAUGGACUCGCGGCUUAUCAGCUUGUUGGUGGGGUAGUGGCUUACCAAGGCUUUGACGGGUAGCCGGCCUGAGAGGGUGACCGGCCACAUUGGGACUGAGAUACGGCCCAGACUCCUACGGGAGGCAGCAGUGGGGAAUAUUGCACAAUGGGCGGAAGCCUGAUGCAGCAACGCCGCGUGCGGGAUGACGGCAUUCGGGUUGUAUACCGCUUUCGCCUGUGACGAAGCGUGAGUGACGGUAAUGGGUAAAGAAGCACCGGCUAACUACGUG
rnacentral:rRNA from 1 species